rnacentral:lncRNA from 1 species
CACCCAAAUACUGGAUGUCGAAGGUCAGACUGCAGGGAGGUUAAGCUGCCGGCCCUGUUCUGCGAGUUGCUUUCUGUACUUCCGCAGCGAUCGCUCUGGGGUUCUCCAAGUGCAGCAGUGACGCGCCGCCUCAGAGCUGGAGCCCGCGCAGCACCCCGCAAGGCGAUGGACAGCCAACCCCCCUGUGCUCCGGACGCCCCCGCGGCGCCCACGCCGCUCGCCGCCCCGGCUGGCCUACGUCAUGAUCUUCUGAUGCAGCAGACUAGUGCACUGGCUCUCUGGCAUUUCACAGCAUUGCUUUGGUUUUGAAUAAAACUGGUGCAGCCAGAAGGCGGAUAGUGCUUGGCAGGCAGCUGUUGCAUAGUGAGCUUGGAGAAAGAUCUGGACCUGAAUCUCUGCUCUGACACUCAAUGGCUCAUGCACUUUGUUUCCCCUUUCCUGAGACUCAAUUUCUAUUCUUUUUUCCCCCUAAGACUUAAUUUCCUCCAUGAUAGAAGAGGAUACUAAUACAGAAUGAAAAUGUGGCACCAAUAGCAGUCAAUAUGAGGCAUUUGGUAUUAAGUUUUACAUCAUAUUAUCCACAUUGUUAGAAAGCAGCCCAUUGGAAUGCUAUAGUCAUUGCACUCAUUCAACACCAAGGAGGAACAGGAAUGCCCUGUUUGAUUUGCUUCUCCCUAAAAGUAGAGGAUGAUGUAAGCUAAAAGGUUCCUACGUCUACUAUGAAAGUCCCCCUACCAGGUGCAGGGAACUUAUAUUGGGUCCACUGAAUCCAAAAUAUGUACUAAUCUUAAGGAAAACCACCUUCAUUUUGAC